GACGAACGCUGGCGGCGUGCUUAACACAUGCAAGUCGAGCGGGAAACUUCGGUUUUCAGCGGCGGACGGGUGAGUAACACGUGGGCAACCUGCCUCACAAUGAGGGAUAGCCCUCCGAAAGGAGGAUUAAUACCUCAUCACACAAGGAAAACGCAUGUUUUCCUUGCCAAAGAAUUUCGUUGUGAGAUGGGCCCGCGGCGCAUUAGCUUGUUGGUGAGGUAACGGCUCACCAAGGCUUCGAUGCGUAGCCGACCUGAGAGGGUGAUCGGCCACAUUGGAACAGAGACACGGUCCAGACUCCUACGGGAGGCAGCAGUGGGGAAUAUUGCACAAUGGAGGAAACUCUGAUGCAGCAACGCCGCGUGAGUGAUGAAGGUCUUCGGAUUGUAAAGCUCUGUCUUCUGGGACGAUAAUGACGGUACCAGAGGAGGAAGCCACGGCUAACUACGUGCCAGCAGCCGCGGUAA
rnacentral:rRNA from 1 species